UGGUCUAGGAUGUAAUUUGUUUGACGUAUUGCUGCCAUUAUGCGUCUGAGUCCCUCAGAGGCACGGGGUAGGGGAAGAAAGUUUUCCCCGGUGAGUUCAGUACAGAUGUGACCACAGGAGGGUGCACCUGAGCUGCCGCAGACCAGGCGGAGGGUCCAUGGUAGAGCAUCUGCAUGAGCAGGUCUGGCAGAAGCACAGUCGUCUUCUUAUUGGCUGGUGGACACGUGGGAAACCACUCUGACUGAUGCAGGAAAGAAGGGCGGGCCGGUACUAGAAGUAGCUGUGCUGGCUGGAGGUGGCAAUUCUAAAAGUGAUUGUAAUUGUAAUUGGGAGGAACCAUGAGGACAUCCGAGGGGGCUUUCAUCACGCUCUUGUGGCUGCCGCUGCACUGGCUCAGCCGAGGAGAGAAUGUGGAGCAGAGUCCAUCCACCCUGAGUGUCCAGGAGGGAAACAGCUCUGUUAUCACCUGUAGUUACUCAGACAGUGCCUCAGACUACUUCCCUUGGUAUAAGCAAGAACUUGGAAAAGGUCCCCAGCUCAUUAUAGACAUUCGUUCAAGUGUGGCCAAAAAAGAAGACCAAAGACUCACUGUUUUACUGAAUAAGACGGCCAAGCAUCUGUCCCUGCACAUCGCAGCCACCCAGCCUGCAGACUCAGCUGUCUACUUCUGUGCAGCAAGUGCACACUGCGUCCCAGACACCUGCUGCCUGCACCCAAACCUGUGACUGGGCAGUCCCUGUCCUUUGACACAGAACUUCAAGUAGAUCGUUUGUGCUAUUGUUUGUCUGCAGGCAGAAGCUAAUGUGUUAGACAUUAAAGCAUAACUUAAGACAACUGGGAUCGAGAUGACCCAGACAGGGUUAGAACAUUUUGUUGAAUCAUUGCUGCUUAUUGGAUUUUUGAAGGGAGUUAGUAAGGUUUUAUUUUGCAAUUCAGGUUUAAAGCUGAUUUACAUUUGCUGUUCAGACUCCUGACAUACAAACAACUUCUUGGUAAAUUGUCACAUUCCUGUCAUGCAUUAGCUUUCAACUCUUAUCUUUCCAGUACUGCAGAUGUUGCUUUUGUUCUGUUAUAAACCAUUGUGUGCUAAAUAUAGAAAAUAUGUAAAAAGCAAAGUGUGAAAUUGAUUAAUUGUGUACCCAGCUAAUUUAUUAUCAAUGUUUCAUUUACUCUUUUCUUAAAUCCUAAUGUAAUUUGGAUUCUGAUUUUUUCCACUCAAUGUUAUAUCCUGAAUUGAGCAUUCUCCUCUAACACCUGAGUUUUAAUAGCUCCACGAGAGAUUUUCAAGGGUCACACUUAUAAUUUUAGCUUCCUUACUCUUCUCUCUUUCUGGCAUAUUUGACAGUCCUUUCUGUGUGUUCUGAUUAUUUUCUUGUUGAGAUAAUGUGACUUGGGAUUUUCUUGAGAGCCCAGUGAUGGUAUGCAUUUUAUGUGUGUUUGAGGGAAAUUAAAAGCAGAAGUGUUUUAGUCAAGAAUUUGAGUGGAGAAUUAGACUCUUCAAAAUUUUGUUAGUAUGUGUUUAUAUCUAUACUCAAAUAAUUUAGAAGGGAAAGUUGUAUCUUUUAAUAAUUUUUAUAUAGCACAAACUUUUUUACAUAGUUGAUCAUCAGUAGAUGUUUAUUAAUGAAAGAAGGAAAAGGUGAAUUCUGCUAUUUAUUUAGAAUUUUUAUGUAAGCUUUGUGAUUACAUUAAAUUUAUAACUUGUGAAGAAUAAACUAAAAGUCUUUGGUUAUUGAAGAAUAUAGUAUUUACCUGUUUAUCUAUGUCUUUUUC